GGUGAUAGUAUUGUGGAGUGUGUGCAUAGGGCUGUUACUGUUACCGUAUUACUGCCACAACGCCGAGUCCUGUUCAGACAGGUGCAUGAUAACGGCCCAUUCUAAACCAGACAGGUGCAUGAUAAUGGCCCAUUCUAAACCAGACAGGUGCAUGAUAAUGGCCCAUUCUAAACCAGACAGGUGCAUGAUAACGGCCCAUUCUAAACCAGACAGGUGCAUGAUAACGGCCCAUUCUAAACCAGACAGGUGCAUGAUAAUGGCCCAUUCUAAACCAGACAGGUGCAUGAUAAUGGCCCAUUCUAAACCAGACAGGUGCAUGAUAAUGGCCCAUUCUAAACCAGACAGGUGCAUGAUAACGGCCCAUUCUAAACCAGACAGGUGCAAUUAAUUAAACAUUUUCCUCAAUCUAAAGAAUAAUGACAAAGUGAAUGUAUUUUUAGCAAUGUUUGCAAAUGUAUAAAAAAGUAAAAACAGAUACCUUCAGGCCCUUUGCUACAAGACUCGAUAUUGAGCUCAGGUGCAUCCUGUUUCCAUUGAUCGUCCUUGAUGUUUCUACAAGUUGAUUGGAGUCCACCUGUGGUAAAUUCAAAUGAUUGGACAUGAUUUGGAAAGGCACACACCUGUCACUAUGAGGUCCCACAGUUGACAGUACUUCAGAGCAAAAACCAAAGCCUUGGGGUCGAAGGAAUUGUCCGUAGAGCUCCAAGUCAGGAUUGUGUUGAGGCACAGAUCUGGGGAAGGGUACCAAAACAUUUCUGCAGCAUUGAAGGUCCCCAAGAACACAGU